AUUGAACGCUGGCGGCAGGCCUAACACAUGCAAGUCGAACGAGUGGCGGACGGGUGAGUAAUGUCUGGGAAACUGCCUGAUGGAGGGGGAUAACUACUGGAAACGGUCGCUAAUACCGCAUACCAUCGGAUGUGCCCAGAUGGGAUUAGCUAGUAGGUGGGUUAAAGGCCCACCGAGGCGACGAUCCCUAGCUGGUCUGAGAGGAUGACCAGCCACGCUGGAACUGAGACACGGUCCGGACUCCUCCGGGAGGCAGCAGGGGGGAAUAUUGCACAAUGGGCGCAAGCCUGAUGCAGCCAUGCCGCGUGUAUGAAGAAGGCCUUCGGGUUGUAAAGUACUUUCAGCGAGGAGGCGUUACCCGCAGAAGAAGCACCGGCUAACUCCGUGCCAGCAGCCGCGGUAAUAC
rnacentral:rRNA from 1 species